CCUACGGGAGGCAGCAGUGGGGAAUAUUGGACAAUGGGCGAAAGCCUGAUCCAGCAAUGCCGCGUGAGUGAUGAAGGCCUUAGGGUUGUAAAGCUCUUUUACCAGGGAUGAUAAUGACAGUACCUGGAGAAUAAGCUCCGGCUAACUCCGUGCCAGCAGCCGCGGUAAUACGGAGGGAGCUAGCGUUGUUCGGAAUUACUGGGCGUAAAGCGUACGUAGGCGGUUAUUCAAGUCAGAGGUGAAAGCCCGGGGCUCAACCCCGGAACUGCCUUUAGAAACUAGAUAGCUAGAAUCUUGGAGAGGUUAGUGGAAUUCCGAGUGUAGAGGUGAAAUUCGUAGAUAUUCGGAAGAACACCAGUGGCGAAGGCGACUAACUGGACAAGUAUUGACGCUGAGGUACGAAAGCGUGGGGAGCAAACAGGAUUAGAUACCCUGGUAGUCCACGCCGUAAACGAUGAUAACUAGUUGUUCGGGCACUUGGUGCCUGAGUGACGCNNCACGACAUAAGUUAUUACGUCCGUCGGUAGGUACGGUCGUCGAGAAUAAACUUAAACGUAAGUAGUACGGACGUGAGACGAGCGACGACGACGACGACGGAGGUAGG
rnacentral:rRNA from 1 species